rfam:Lactobacillus silagei DNA, scaffold: sequence04, strain: IWT126.
AAGUUGAUAUUUGUUCUGCCCAAGACUCAGGUGGCGUCAGCCUUAAUUUACCUGCCGAGGAAGAUGUGAAUUUAGUUUACAUUUCUCUCUAUGUCUGGCGGACAUAGGGAUUUUUUAUUCCUAAA